CUAUCAUCCGAGCCCGUGCUCAACACUCGGGCCUACCGUCCGAUGGGCAUUCUCCCGUGCUCAGCACUCAGGCCUAUCGUCCGAUGGGCAUUCUCCCGUGCCACUCAGGCCUAUCGUCCGAGCCGUGCUCAGCACUCAGGCUUAUCGUCCGAGCCCGUGCUCAGCACUCAGGCCUACCAUCCCAGCCCGUGCUCAGCACUCAGGCCUACCGUCCGAGCCCGUGCUCAGCACUCAGGCCUACCAUCCGAUGGGCAUUCUCCCGUGCUCAGCACUCAAGCCUACCGUCCGAGGGGCAUUCUCCAGCUUCUCUGAGUGGUUGCUUCCCUGAGGUUUGGGGUGAAGCCUUGAAACACUUAGCCAGCCAUCUUACUUUUCUGAAGGUCACCUGGUGCCCUCUGCAGGUCAACUGUUAAUCCCCCAAAGAGUAUCUGAACCAUCUCAUUCCCUUCAAGGCACAGAAAUAAGACUGACCUAAGCUAGCAGUCACUGUAAACUCCAUGAGCAGCCAAACCUCCAAGACUGACCAGCCUCAGAUGAAGGCUGUUGUCUUUAAGAACAAGGCUGCACCCUGGAGCCCAAGUCACCAUCCCUAAGGACUACUUUGCCCCCUCAAGCUAGAAGGACUUCUGCAGAGCGUCUUGUAGGACCAGAGAACCCAGACAAGGAUGAAAGAGCCCACACCUAGACCAUGCUUAACGAUACCUACCUCCUACUCCUUGUCCCAGUCCUACUUAAACCUAGAGUUGGCUCCAGCUCCCCCCAAAUGAACUUGCAGCCACUGGGCCCCUUAACUUGUUCCUCUUUGCACUGAAGCCCCAUUGAAUUAAUCUUCCAUUUUCUGCCA